UACGGGGGGAGCAAACGUUGUUCGGAAUCACUGGGCGUAAAGCGCGUGUAGGCGGCCAUGCAAGUCGGAUGUGAAAGCCCUCGGCUCAACCGGGGAAGUGCACUCGAAACUGCAAGGCUAGAGUCUCGGAGAGGAUCGUGGAAUUCUCGGUGUAGAGGUGAAAUUCGUAGAUAUCGAGAGGAACACCGGUGGCGAAGGCGGCGAUCUGGACGAUGACUGACGCUGAGACGCGAAAGCGUGGGGAGCAAACAGG
rnacentral:rRNA from 1 species